rnacentral:rRNA from 1 species
CCUACGGGGGGCUGCAGGAGGGAAUCUUCCGCAAUGGACGAAAGUCUGACGGAGCAACGCCGCGUGAGCGAAGAAGGUCUUCGGAUCGUAAAGCUCUGUUGUUAGGGAAGAACAAGUACGGGAGGAAAUGACCGUACCUUGACGGUACCUAACGAGGAAGCCACGGCUAACUACGUGACAGCAGCCGGGGUAAUACGUAGGUGGCAAGCGUUGUCCGGAAUUAUUGGGCGUAAAGCGCGCGCAGGCGGUCUUUUAAGUCUGAUGUGAAAUCUUGCGGCUCAACCGCAAGCGGUCAUUGGAAACUGGGAGAAUUGAGGGCAGAAGCGGAAAGCGGAGUUCCAGGUGUUGCGGUGAACUGCGUAGAGCUGUGGAGGAACACCAGUGGCGAAGGCUGCUUUCUGGUCUGUAACUGACGCUGAGGCGAGAAAGCGUGGGGAGCAAACAGGCUUAGAUACCCGUGUAGUC